AUUGAACGCUGGCGGCAUGCCUUACACAUGCAAGUCGAACGGUAACGCGGGGCAACCUGGCGACGAGUGGCGAACGGGUGAGUAAUACAUCGGAACGUGCCCAGUAGUGGGGGAUAGACCGGCGAAAGCCGGAUUAAUACCGCAUACGACCUACGGGUGAAAGCAGGGGAUCGCAAGACCUUGCGCUAUUGGAGCGGCCGAUGGCAGAUUAGGUAGUUGGUGGGGUAAAGGCCUACCAAGCCGACGAUCUGUAGCUGGUCUGAGAGGACGACCAGCCACACUGGGACUGAGACACGGCCCAGACUCCUACGGGAGGCAGCAGUGGGGAAUUUUGGACAAUGGGCGCAAGCCUGAUCCAGCCAUGCCGCGUGCGGGAAGAAGGCCUUCGGGUUGUAAACCGCUUUUGUCAGGGAAGAAACGGUCUGGGUUAAUACCCUGGGCUAAUGACGGUACCUGAAGAAUAAGCACUGGCUAACUUCGUGCCAGCAGCCGCGGUAACAC
rnacentral:rRNA from 1 species